AACUGGAGGCCCGAACCAGGAUCUGUUGAAAAAGAUUUGGAUGACUUGUGGAUCGGAGUGAAAGGCUAAUCAAGCUCGGAGAUAGCUGGUUCUCCUCGAAAGCUAUUUAGGUAGCGCCUCACGUAUCACGCCGGGGGUAGAGCACUGUUUCGGCUAGGGGUCAUCCCGACUUACCAACCCGAGGCAAACUCCGAAUACCGGUGAGUGCCAGCGUGGGAGACACACGGCGGGUGCUAACGUCCGUCGUGAAAAGGGAAACAACCCAGACCGUCAGCUAAGGUCCCCAAAUCCUGGUUAAGUGGGAAACGAUGUGGGAAGGCUCAGACAGCUAGGAGGUUGGCUUAGAAGCAGCCAUCCUUUAAAGAAAGCGUAAUAGCUCACUAGUCGAGUCGGCCUGCGCGGAAGAUGUAACGGGGCUAAACCAGGUACCGAAGCUACGGGUUCACACUAUGUGUGAGCGGUAGAGGAGCGUCGUGUAAGCCGAUGAAGGUGUGUUGAGAAGCAUGCUGGAGGUAUCACGAGUGCGAAUGCUGACAUGAGUAACGAUAAAGGGAGUGAAAAACUCCCUCGCCGGAAGACCAAGGGUUUCUGUUCGACGCUAAUCGGAGCAGAGUGAGUCGGCCCCUAAGGCGAGGCCGAAAGGCGUAGUCGAUGGGAAACGGGUCAAUAUUCCCGUACCGGACAUGAUUGCGAUGGGGGGACGGAGAAGGCUAGGUGAGCCAGGCGUUGGUUGUCCUGGUGAAAGUGAGUAGGCUGAGCGCUUAGGUAAAUCCGGGUGCUCAAGGCCGAGACACGAAACGAAGACACUACGGUGUCGAAGUCAUUGAUGCCACGCUUCCAGGAAAAGCCUCUAAGCUUCAGAUCAUGUGCGACCGUACCCCAAACCGACACAGGUGGUCAGGGUGAGAAUCCCAAGCGCUUGAGAGAACUCGGGUGAAGGAACUAGGCAAAAUGGUGCCGUAACUUCGGGAGAAGGCACGCCGGCGUAGGGUGAGAGGACUUGCUCCUUCAGCCCGAACCGGUCGAAGAUACCAGGUGGCUGCAACUGUUUAGUAAAAACACAGCACUCUGCUAACGCGCAAGCGGACGUAUAGGGUGUGACGCCUGCCCGGUGCCGGAAGGUUAAGUGAUGGUGUUAGGCCUCGGCCGAAGCUCUUGAUCGAAGCCCCGGUAAACGGCGGCCGUAACUAUAACGGUCCUAAGGUAGCGAAAUUCCUUGUCGGGUAAGUUCCGACCUGCACGAAUGGCGUAAUGAUGGCCACGCUGUCUCCACCCGAGACUCAGUGAAAUUGAAAUCGCCGUGAAGAUGCGGUGUACCCGCGGCUAGACGGAAAGACCCCGUGAACCUUUACUAUAGCUUCACACUGGACGCUGAUGUUGCCUGUGUAGGAUAGCUGGGAGGCUUUGAAACCCGGACGCCAGUUCGGGUGGAGCCAACCUUGAAAUACCAGCCUGGCAUCAUUGGCGUUCUCACUCAGGUCCGUGAUCCGGAUCGAGGACAGUGUGUGGUGGGUAGUUUGACUGG
rnacentral:ncRNA from 1 species